GACGAACCGUGCGAACGUUAUUCGGAAUCACUGGGCUUAAAGCGCGUGUAGGCGGGCGGGCACGUCCGUUGCUGAAAUCCCCCGGCUCAACCGGGGAACGGGCGCGGAUACGACUCUCCUUGAGGGGCGUAGGGGGACCUGGAACUUCCGGUGGAGCGGUGAAAUGCGUUGAGAUCGGAAGGAACGCCCGUGGCGAAAGCGAGGUCCUGGACGAAUACUGACGCUGAGACGCGAAAGCCAGGGGAGCGAACGGG
rnacentral:rRNA from 1 species